GGUGCUGUGGCGUAUUUGGAUAAAGUCCCUGUCUUGCAAACAGGAAAUCCUGAGUUCAAAUCCCAGCUGUGCCU
rnacentral:tRNA from 1 species